CGGGGUGUGGCUCAGUUUGGCUAGAGCGCUUGAUUUGGGAUCAAGAGGUCGCAGGUUCGAAUCCUGUCACCCCGA
rnacentral:tRNA from 1 species